UACGUAGGGUGCAAGCGUUGUUCGGAAUUACUGGGCGUAAAGGGCUCGUAGGCGGCCAACUAAGUCGGACGUGAAAUCCCUCAGCUUAACUGGGGAACUGCGUCUGAUACUGGAUGGCUUGGAUUCGGGAGAGGGAUGCGGAAUUCCAGGUGUAGCGGUGAAAUGCGUAGAUAUCUGGAGGAACACCGGUGGCGAAGGCGGCAUCCUGGACCGAUAUUGACGCUGAGGAGCGAAAGCCAGGGGAGCAAACGGG
rnacentral:rRNA from 1 species